rnacentral:misc_RNA from 1 species
GAUGAAGAACGCAGCAAAAUGCGAUACUUGGUGUGAAUUGCAGAAUCCCGUGAACCAUCGAGUUUUUGAACGCAAGUUGCGCCCGAAGCCUUUUGGCCGAGGGCACGUCUGCCUGGGCGUCACGCAUCGCGUCGCCCCCCACAAUUCUCCGUAAAGGGAACAUGUGUUUUGGGGGCGGAUAUUGGUCUCCCGUGCUCAUGGCGUGGUUGGCCGAAAUAGGAGUCCUUUCGAUGGACGCACGAACUAGUGGUGGUCGUAAAAACCCUCGUCUUUUGUUUCGUGCUGUUAGUCGCAAGGUAAACUCUUUAAAAACCCCAAUGUGUCGUCUCUUGACGACGCUUCGACCGCGACCCCAGGUCAGGCGGGACUACCCGCUGAGUUUAAGCAUAUCAAUAAGCGGAGGA